rnacentral:rRNA from 1 species
UGGGGAAUAUUGGACAAUGGGGGCAACCCUGAUCCAGCCAUGCCGCGUGUGUGAAGAAGGCCUUUUGGUUGUAAAGCACUUUAAGCAGGGAGGAGAGGCUAAUGGUUAAUACCCAUUAGAUUAGACGUUACCUGCAGAAUAAGCACCGGCUAACUCUGUGCCAGCAGCCGCGGUAAUACAGAGGGUGCGAGCGUUAAUCGGAAUUACUGGGCGUAAAGCGAGUGUAGGUGGCUCAUUAAGUCACAUGUGAAAUCCCCGGGCUUAAACCUGGGAACUGCAUGUGAUACUGGUGGUGCUAGAAUAUGUGAGAGGGAAGUAGAAUUCCCAGGUGUAGCGGUGGAAUGCGUAGAGAUCUGGAGGAAUACCGAUGGCGAAGGCAGCUUCCUGGCAUAAUAUUGACACUGAGAUUCGAAAGCGUGGGUAGCAAAACAGGAUUAGAUACCCUGGUAGUCCACGCCGUAAACGAUGUCUACUAGCCGUUGGGGUCCUUGAGACUUUAGUGGCGCAGUU